AAGUCUAUUAAAAUUAGAUAAUAGCGAUAUCGGCCGGUAAUUAUUAGCAUCAGUCCUGUCAUCAUUUUUAAAUAUUGGAAUGAUUUUUGACAUUUUUAAUUUGGAUGGAUAUACUCCUAACUCAAUUGAUAAAUUAAAUAAUCUACACAAUACGUAACUAAUAAUAUCGCUGGCACAUUUCAAUAUCUGAGAGGGACAAGAAUAUAAACCAUGUGCUGUGUUGAUUGGAAGUGCUAAAAUCUCAAGUUUCACUUCAACAGGAGUAAUUAGAUUAAAACAAAACGAAUCUCGCGGAGAUUUAGAUUUUAU